GAAAGAAGAAAAAAAAAAAAGUCGUGCGUUCCCACACGGACCUAAAAGCGGGACGGACAAGGAAAAAAAAAAAAGAGAAGACGGAAGUUAAAGCCGUCAAACAAAGAGGACAGGAGUUUGGGAUCUUUUGAAUCACAGAUCCUAGUCAACCUGUGUACAACUGGAUGAUCUUUUAGAUGAGCAGAGAGGCAGCCGGUUUUUACCUGCAUCCUCUGGAUCAAUGGUGAACAUGUCCAUACACUGAAAUAAAUGGAAGUAAAAGCAA